rnacentral:ribozyme from 14 species
AAGGAAAAAAGGAGAAGGACGGAGAAGACUUUCUGUUUAUAUUUAACUAUUUAUUGCUACAGUUUUCUUUUCACAUUUCAUUUUUCUUGAAUUUAUACAGAAAGGGAAGACCGGAAGAGCAGUAGUGGCGGUUCUACUGGAAUGGAGGGAGAGUUGAACGUGAAGGAGAGAGAGAAGACAGAAGAAGAGGACUUUACAUGCCAGCUUUCAGCAGAGGUCCUAAGUAAUAUAAAUAA